ACAGUGGUGGUUCAGUGGUAGAAUUCUCACCUUCCACGCUGGAGACCUGGGUUCAAUUCCUGGCCAGUGCA
rfam:Loxodonta africana unplaced genomic scaffold scaffold_18, whole genome shotgun sequence.